AGAGUUUGAUCCUGGCUCAGAUUGAACGCUGGCGGCAUGCUUUACACAUGCAAGUCGAACGGCAGCACGGGCUUCGGCCUGGUGGCGAGUGGCGAACGGGUGAGUAAUGCAUCGGAACGUGCCCAUGUUGUGGGGGAUAACUACGCGAAAGCGUGGCUAAUACCGCAUACGCCCUGAGGGGGAAAGCGGGGGAUUCUUCGGAACCUCGCGCAAUUGGAGCGGCCGAUGUCAGAUUAGCUUGUUGGUGAGGUAAAGGCUCACCAAGGCGACGAUCUGUAGCGGGUCUGAGAGGAUGAUCAGCCACACUGGGACUGAGACACGGCCCAGACUCCUACGGGAGGCAGCAGUGGGGAAUAUUGGACAAUGGGCGCAAGCCUGAUCCAGCCAUGCCGCGUGAGUGAAGAAGGCCUUCGGGUUGUAAAGCUCUUUCAGCGGGGACGAUGAUGACGGUACCCGCAGAAGAAGCCCCGGCUAACUUCGUGCCAGCAGCCGCGGUAAUA
rnacentral:rRNA from 1 species